CGCGGGAUGGAGCAAAGGCAGCUCGUCAGGCCCAUAACCUGAAGGUUCUUGGUUCGAGUCCAAGUCCCGCAA
rnacentral:tRNA from 1 species